AUUAACCUUGCUCUGAUACCAAAAAUGAUGCGGGAUGAAUGCGAGGGAUUUAAACAUAAGGAUUAUCAGUAAGUUAUGUUGAUUAACUAGCCUAAUAGCAGCAGGAAAUUCAGUCACAUAUGGGAUAAGAAAACAAUAACAUGAGCAUAGUAAUUUCAAGACUAGUUACCCGCAUGUACUAAUUCAUUUAGGACUUAGAAGAAUGGACCGUUGUGGUUGAGAAACCACUUGAUUAGGACACUUCCUUCAAUAAAUCAGACCUAGAGUUGAGGUUUACUAAACAUUGAACUUCUGGAUUUUUUUUGGAGGAGGAUCCUUGAUCUCACUCUUGAAGGUUGAUGAUUGGAUGACCAAGCUUCAUCUUCCGUUGCAACAGGGCCCUUUUGCUAUUGGUUUGGAAGGAUAAUUGACCCAAUGACAUGGAGUACUUUAAGGACCUGCAAAGAAACAGGGAUUAAAACUUUGGCGUGAGAGGGGAAUGGAAAUCACAAAAGAAAAAGGAGGCGAGAGGAGGUAGGGCAAUGGUGGAUGUGGUAGUGGCUUUAGGGCCUCACGCCCAACUUGGAACAAGGGCCUCACGCCCAACCUUCUCUCAAGGUGACGAAGCAAGAUUGCUAAGGAAGAAAGAAGN
rnacentral:lncRNA from 1 species